rnacentral:rRNA from 1 species
AUUGAACGCUGGCGGCAGGCCUAACACAUGCAAGUCGAACGAGUGGCGGACGGGUGAGUAAUUUCUGGGAAACUGCCCGAUGGAGGGGGAUAACUACUGGAAACGGUAGCUAAUACCGCAUACCAUCGGAUGUGCCCAGAUGGGAUUAGCUAGUAGGUGGGGUAACGGCUCACCUAGGCGACGAUCCCUAGCUGGUCUGAGAGGAUGACCGGCCACUCUGGAACUGAGAAACGGUCCAGACUCAGACGAGAGGAAGCAGGGGGGAAUAUUGCAAAGUGGGCGCAAGACUGCUGCAGACAUGCAGCGGGUAGGAAGAAGGAUAUCGGGUUGUAAAGUACUUUCAUCGGGGAGGCGUUACCCGCAGAAGAAGCACCGGCUAACUCCGUGCCAGCAGACGCGGUAAUAC